UACAGAGGUCCCGAGCGUUGUUCGGAUUCAUUGGGCGUAAAGGGUGCGUAGGCGGCGGGGCAAGUCUGAUGUGAAAUCCCGGGGCUCAACCCCGGAACUGCAUUGGAUACUGCCUUGCUCGAGUACUGGAGAGGGAACUGGAAUUUACGGUGUAGCAGUGAAAUGCGUAGAUAUCGUAAGGAAGGCCAGUGGCGAAGGCGAGUUCCUGGACAGUUACUGACGCUGAGGCACGAAGGCCAGGGGAGCAAACAGG
rnacentral:rRNA from 1 species